rnacentral:lncRNA from 1 species
CUUGCCCAAGGUCACACAACAGGCACGUGGUGGAGCCGGGAUUAGAACUCAUGACCUUCUGAAUCCCAGGUCUCUGUGUUCUAGCCACUUAAACCAAGCUGCUUCUUCCGUGUCUUUGAAUGGUUGUUUCCAAAAUGACUCGGCAAAGGUACUCCGAAAGCCCAGGACCUGAGGGGGCCAGAGGACUCAUGGCAUGUCAUUAAAGCAGAUUUCAGAGUUACUCAGGGACCAAAAAUACUUGCAGAGUCCAGCUACUCCCUGUAGCUAACUCAAGGCUUCCUCCACAGUGGAAGAAUCCAAAGCCUCUCUUUUCUUAAAGGUAUUUGUUAAGCACUUACUAUGUGCAAGUCACUACUAAGUGCUGGUGUAGAUGCAAAAAAAUCAAGUUAGAAACAUGGGGCUCCUAGUAUUGAUUCCCAUGUGCUCCCUCUAGACUGUAAGCUCACUGUGGGCAAGGAAUGGGUCUGUUAUAUUGUUAUACUGUACUCUCUCAAGCUAGUUUAAGACACUGCUCUGCUCAUAAUAAGUACUUAAUAAAUACAGUUGACUGAUAGAUGAGAAAACUGGCUGAGAAAAGUGACUUGCCCAAAGUCACACAGCAAAUAUGCAGCAGAACUGUGAUUAGAACCUAGGUCCUCUGACUCUACUAGGCCACACUGUUUCCCUAUUCCUGUCUCUCAUGGGGCUCACAUUCUAAGAGGGUUCUCUUUAACCAGAAGCAUUGUCUAGAGGAUAGAGGAUGGGCCUGGGAGUCAGAGGAGCAUGGGUUCAAAUCCUUGUUCUACCACAUCGGAAGACCAGUGAGAUAGAUAUUAGUGCUCACUGUCUAAGUACGAGAGAGAAGAGAUAUUGAAUCUCCAUUUUAUAGAUAAGGAAACCAAGACAGAGAGACACGAAGUGAUUUGCCCAAGGUCACAGAGCAGGCAAAUGGCAGGGUCAGGAUUAAAACUCAGGUCCUUUGACUCCCAGGCUCAUCUUCUUUCCUCCAGGCCAUGAUGUAUCCAAACUUAGGAGAUAUCAAUUCUUGAUUUUUUUAAAAAGGCAUUACUGAAUCCAAUGUUUAGAGCAUAGAGAAAAUGUCAUCAAUGAGCAAGGGAGAUUAGCAACAAGAUCGGGCCUGACAUCACCAAAGUACUCCUUACUGCAACAUGGCCCUGCAAGUCUGGCCAAGUCUAGGAGAUGUGUGACAGAAAUAAAUGCAUGCAGCUUCUGAGUGGCUAUCUUAAGUAGGAAUGACCACAAGCAGGAGGAGCUGCAGAAACACUUUCAGGCAUAAGAAAAGCAACUUCAGCUGAAGCCUCAUAGUUGAAUAUAUUGACACAAACAACACCUAGCCCUAACCUGGCCCGCAGCAAUUAGAAAUCAUUUUGAACAAAGGCUUC